GACAAUAUUGUUCUGGAAUUUUUAGCUGGCACUCAGAUUUCUGUCUGCCUCUCAUUGGCAAACAUGACAUUUCAGCAAUUUCUCUAAAGAGGAAUGAUUGGGGGGGUCUGUAUAGCAGGCAUCAUGUAAGAAAACUCACACCUCAUGACAUAUUUGUUUGAUUUAUUCAGCAGACUUCAGCAAAGGAAAGAUGUGAAAGCAACCCUUGGUUGUUGAUUUUUUGUUCAUUCUGAAAAUCACAUCGCCAGAUCCAACACCUUGUUAUCCCAAUCACCAGUACAAGCCACCUGUAUCAGUGUACACUGUGGCUGACUGAUCCAUAGUGAUGCUUUGAGCACAAGGAAGGACUUUCUGGAAUCUACUUAUCUGACCAAGAAAGCUUCUUUCCAAAAGAAAUGCAAUUGUCUUGAGACUUCUUCCCUAGGGAUCUGAUCAACUAACUGGAAAAAAGCAACCACCGGAGAAGAGACUGUGGGUGUCAUUGUGACUGGCUGCUACCUCCCCAUGAGUCUUCUAAAAUAAAACCUGCAAAUUCACAUCUUCCCCAUGCUUCCAGAGAA
rnacentral:antisense_RNA from 1 species